GUCCUAGCCUUAAACGAUGAAUGCUUGGUGUGACGGGUACCCAAUCCCGCCGUGCCGGAGCUAACGCGAUAAGCAUUCCGCCUGGGGAGUACGGUCGCAAGGCUGAAAACUCAAAAGGAAUUGACGGGGGCCCGCACAAGCGGUGGAGCAUGUGGUUCAAUUCGACGCAACGCGAAGAACCUUACCUGGGCUCGAAGCGCAGUGGACCGGGGUGGAAAACAUCCCUUUCUCGCAAGAGACUGCUGCGGAGGUGCUGCAUGGCUGUCGU
rnacentral:rRNA from 1 species